UCAGUCAGGCAAACUGAGCCAGUAGCCGAGGCUGACACUGCUGGCAGACGUUCGAUCGUUACGCGGCGAAUCAGUGUUGGUCGGUGGUCGGGCGUACCGCGAAGAACACAAUUUGGACAUGCGUAUCGGUCGUUAUCGUUCGUACCCACGUAUGAUCUCUUCUUUCGGAGAUAUAUAUAUAUCUUGUAACAGUAACGGUAACGGCAAUUCUGACAUUUAGUUUAUACGGAAAUAUUAAUACUUUGCUUUUUCACGGGAAGGAAGCAUAAAAGAAGGAAGAAGUAAGAGGAAAACUCGGAUUAAUUGAUCAAGACGGACUUCAACUUUGGAAAGGUUGAAAGGAAAUCGAUUCGAGCGAGGUCGAAAGUAUACACGAUGACAUUGAAUAGUCGGCACUCGGUCUCUCUUGUAGAACGAAUGCGCACCACCUGUAGCUCGAUAUCUACAUAUGCCCAAAGGGUCAAUCGCCUUUUCUUCGUGUUUCUCCGUAAAUAAUUCCGUUGAACAACUGUUAGUAUGAUGCUACCAACACCUCCUAUGUACCAAGCCUGUAUUAUGCCAGUCAUGAGAAGUUCUUUCACUUCGCAAUAACAUCUUUUAAAAAGAAUUCGUCUACCGAUUAUUUGUGAACCUGAAAAAACAACAGUCAAAUUGGAUAUGAUUUAAAUCGUGCUCGUAUUUAUCGACCAGUCGUGUUAUUUGCAUUAUUCCGUACUAUGUUAAAUUAAAUAUUAAAUAUAACACAAUUGUGAGCUAGCGGCCGCGAUAUUGGUAGCGUUGUAACCGUUGUAUCGAUACGAAAGUCUGUAUAUGUAAUUUCUAUUCCUAAUGAAAUUAUUUGAGA